rnacentral:lncRNA from 1 species
UUUUUUUAAAAUUGAUAUAUAUAUAUUUUUACUUUUUCUUUAUUUUAUUUCAUAUAGUAAACAUUUGGUGUGAUUUGGCAUUUUCCAACCCAUCAUAUAAAUCUUUUCAAGGGACAAAAAAAAAAAAAUUGGACUAAUGGAUAUAGCGAUUUGCAAUUCAAGAAAUAAAUUAAAUAAUUUUUUUUUCAAAUAUCAAAAUGAUGAUAUAGAGGUGUUUUUGGAUCGGGUUAGGUCAUGUAAAUCGUAAUGGGCUAAAAUUGUUCAGCCCAUGACCCACAAAUAAAUAAACAGAAAUAAAAGUAUAUAUUUUUUUAACAACCCAAGAUUCAAAAAAUAGAUGCCCAAACACAACUAAACCCAAACCCUAAAUAACCCAAAUGAAACCUAGACCAAAAGGGCCCAAAACCUUAACACUUUCAGCCAACCUAGGAAACCCUAGCCCCUAAUACUUGCAACAGCCGCUGCUCCAAAAGCCUCCGUGUCCCACGCCACUCGGACCUCUAACGCCGCACCACUCACACCUCCACGUUAGAGCUCACGUCCACCACGCCACCUGCAAUGAAAAAACAGUUGUAAAAAGGCUAUAAAAGCCUCCAAAAAUCAUUGUAAAGGGACGGUUUUUUUGAUACACGAAAUAAAGAGCAAUCAAAGCAGAGAAACUUUUUUAAAGGUGUUCUUUUAUUUUUUUUUACUCUUUUGAGUUUUUUUUCGUUUUAUUUUAUUAUUAUUAUCAUUAUUUUUCUUCUUAUCAUUUUUUUCUAAAAAAUGGAAAGAAAAUAGAAAAAGGAAAUUUUACCUUUGGCGACUGCACGUGUGGUGGCGCGUGCGGCGCAGUCUUACCGGUCCCUUGGCCGGAUUCUGGAACCCUUCAGAGAAAAUAGGGUGUUUUUUUCCUUUUAUUUUUUUGAAACUGAGGAGAAGAAUGAAAUUUAAAAAAAAAAUCAGCUUUUAUAGUAGGCCAAAACGGCAUCGUUUUGUGCCACAAGCCCAGGCGCCAAAACGGCACCAUUUAGGCACACGACCCGCUCACGUUACCCGACCCGGGGAGGAUCCUACUAUUUUCUACUUUAGCCCUUCCGGUUUUUAGAGUUUUGCAAUUUAAAUUUUCUUUAUUUUUAAUUUGGCCCUCAAAAUUUUGUUUCUGUUUUAAUUUGAUCCUUGGGCAUUUUAAAUGUGAGUAUUGAGACGACGCCGUUUGGGAAUAGGGUAUAUUUUCCCUGUGAGUCCCUCCUCUAUGACGCGCGUUCCAAUUCGAUCCAUAGAUUGGUCCUAUCCUUUCAUUAUUUUAAAAUUGGCCACCAGAAUCUCAUCUAAACUCCAUUUUAAUCCCUAUGCGCAUGUUUCUUUAAGGGUUUACCCCUACAUUUCAUUUUUGGUUCUGAUUUAGUUUUUUUAUUUGGUUAUUUAUUUAUCUAUUUCAACAUUUUAUAUUUUUUUUUGAAUUAUUUUAUUCGUUUUUUAUUAUUUACAUUAAAAUGGUUCAUUACAAAUCAUUAUAUUGUUUUAUUUUGUAUAUUUAUUGGUUAAUUUAAACUAUUUUCAUGUAUUAUUUAUUUUAUUUUUUUACGUAUUAUUUAUUUUAAAAGUUGUUUUAUGAUUAUUUAUUUUAAGAUAUUGUAUUUUAUUGUUUCACGCUCUUUAUAUAUUAUUCAUUUCAAAUUUAAUAAAUUUGAAUUUAUAUAUAUUAGAUUAAGUUGUUUUUAAAUUAAUUUUCUUUUCCCUUUUUUAAAAUCAGUAUUUUGCAUAUCGAUUAUUUUAAAUUAUCUUAUAUUAUUGCUAUUGAUAGAAAUUAUUUUAAAUUUGUUUUGUUAUAUAUUACCUAUUUUCAUCCUGCUUACAAUAGUUUUUUUUUUUUACUUUUAUUUGCUUUUAUUUCGUUGUUCAAAACCUUUAUUUUUUUACUCUUUUCAUUAUUUAUUCAAAUCUUUUUCAUAUCCUCUUUUAUCCUUUAUUUUGUUAGAUAUACCAUUUUGUGUCAUCUCCACCAAUUGAAAAUGUUUAGAUUAUAUAAUAUGUGUUUAUUGUGAUCACGGGUAUUAGAAUUCUUUAUUAGUUAUUUGUGAUUAAAUGUUGUGGCAUUUUGUUUAUGGAUUAUCACUUUGCGUUUGUACACUAUUGUAUUUUAUUCACCUAAAAAGUCAUGUUUUAAUAUCAUUUAAGUUUAAAAUCGUUUUACUUAAAAGUUUCCAAAAUCAAGCAAUACUAUAUAUUUAGCAUUGACAAGGUUGUGCCCUAACUUACUGGGUUCCAAUUUUCCUCGUUGAGUUUGAGUAACCGAGUACCAUUUUCAAUCAAAACGUGCAAGUUUCAAAUAAAAGCUUAUUCUCAUGAUUUCGAAGUGUUGUGUCCUAACUCACUGGAUAUGGCUCUUUGUAUCUCGAGAUAAGGAUUUCUAAAAAAUAAAGGCAAUGUUCUAUGUUUGGAAUUUUGAAAAAUUGUGCCCUAACUUACUGGGUUCCAAUUUUUUCUCAGUUGACUCAAAUAAUUGAAUAUCCUUUUAAACUUCACUGCAUGAGUUUUAAAAAGACAAGCUUGGUUCCGGAAAUGUGAAAUGUCGCAUCCUAACUCAUUGGGUAUGACGUUUUAUUUCUUCGAAAUAAGAGGGUCUUAGUAUCUAAUUUAAUUUGCUCAAGUGUUCUUUUUAAAAUAAAAGGUCCAUAUUCUAAAAUCUUUUCGAAUUUUUGACAUUAGAACAUUAAUUACCCAAUUAGGUACCAAUUUUGGGCGUUACGAGGGUGCUAACCCUUCCUCGUGCGUAACUGACUCCCGAACCCAUUUCUUAAAUUUCGUAGAUCGAAGUCAUUGUUUUAGUAAAUCAAAAUGUUUUAUUAAAAUGAUCAAUUUCAGGGUGAUCCGAUCACACCUCGGAAAAGAUCGGUGGUGACUCUUUUUUUUUUGUUUUUAAGUCGACUCCCGUUUUUCAAAAUUUAAAAUGGUUUUGACAUAAGUUAUCUAAGCCAAAAUUUUAAGUUUGGACUUAGUCCAACUCGAAAAACAAGCUUAUUUUUUUUAUCUAAAUUCAACCCAAUUUAAGAAAUAUAAAGUUGAGCCCGACUCGGUCUAUCUAUAUUUGAUUUUUUAGAUUAUUUUUAUUUAAAAAAAUCUUUUAAAAAAUAUUAUACACUAAAUGCACCAAAAAAAUACUAAAAUAAAAGUUUUCUAACAUAUUAACAAUACAUUGAAAAUAUUUAUAUUAAAAAAAUACUACCAUAAAUAUAAUAAAUAUUUUAUUAUAUUAAAAAGUAAAUAUAAUAAAUAUUUUAUUGUAUUAAAUAUAAUUUUUAAAAUUUUAUAUUUUGGGUUGGGUUAUUUAGUUGGGUAAGUUUUUAUAUUAGAUUUUGAGUAAUGAAUUUAAUUGUUAUUGGGUUAAUGAUUUAAUAUAAAUAUAUAUAAUUAAUAAUAUUUUUUAUAAUAUGAUAUAUUCGGGUUGGGUCAAGCCAAAAAAUAUUGCCUAGGGCUCAACCCAUAUAGAAAGUAGGCCUUAAAUUUUACCCAAGUCAUUUUUCAGGCCUUGUAUUUUAUUCAAACUUUCUCAUUUUUCGGACAUACCUUAGAGCCUAGACGAGUGACCUAGCUCAUGAGGAGGUGUAAUACAAUACAACUUUAAGGGCUAAGUCAAUUUUUAAUCCUAUAAUUUAUUUUAAAAAAACACCCUACCUGAGAUAGGGGUAUUCAAAUGGUUAAUCGAACCGAACUAAUAUUAAUCAAAAUAACUGAAUUUUUUAAUCCUUUAACAGUUAACCAAACUAAAUUUUUUCAAGAAUAAUUAAUCGAACCGAAUAUUUCGGUUAAUUUGGUCCGAAUUUUAUUUAUUUUUUUGUUAAAACAAGUAUAAAACAUAUAAAAAAAAUUGAUAAUGUUCAUUUGACCGAUUUAAUCAAAUUAGCAAUAGCCUAAUACAUAUUAUAUAUAUAAUAUUAUUAAGUUUGAUUAAUUAUUCGAUUUUGAAUUGAAUUAACUGUUAACCAAAAUUUCAAAAAAAAAUUAACCGACUUCUGACCGAACUAUAUCGAUUAACCGAUUUUCUUUUAAAGAAAGAAAAUCUAAUAUUUGCUUAUGUAAUCAUUCAAAAGCUUUUCAACUUUUACAGAUGAAUUGUAAUUUUGCAAAAUUAAUUUCAUUACUGAAAACCCUAAUUGAAGGAGUUAUUUGCGCUAACUUUCACAUAAUAAUCUAGAGCUUCCUUUAUGAUGGGCUGUCAUACAUUAAAAAGUAAAAAUAAAUAACAAUAAUAAUAAAAUAUUAGACAUUUGCAUGCAUUCACAACAAAGCAUAAGCUGACAAUGUAAUGGUAAAGCAGACAUAGCAAAUUUUGGAAGACAUGAUUUUGCAUUUAAGAAUUGGACCCCAUUAAAUGCAUGGAUUAGGUUUGACUUAUUGAUGAUCAAACGCAUGUGACAUCAUUAUUCAUGAUUAUGCAAACCCUCAAGCCAGUUGUUUGCUUUUCUUUUUUCUUAGUGUUUUUUUUAUUUGUUUAAAAAAUUAAAACCUUUAAUCUUUUAUUAUAAUAAUGUUUAGGGCUUUUUAGUUAUGUCUGACGAGGCUCAGAAAGAAUAUAGUAUUCAGGAUUGAAACAAAGGCGGUUCUUAAAUGCCUGCAUUUAAUAAGGGGCAAGGGUUUCUAACCAUUGAAGUUCGAACGUGAUAAUGCUCUAUUGGUGAAAACGAUUUUAAUUGGUGGAUCUGCCGAUAGUAAUUUGAUGGAAUUAUGCGUAAUACAUUGUCUAUUUAAUCGGAGUUAGAGGGUACAUAUUCGUCAUGUUUCAAGAACUCAGAACAAAGUUGCAGACUAUUUGACCAAAUAUUAUGCUACAGGGUUCACAGGAUUAUAUUUAUUUGCAAAGCCACCUCCUUCAAUGCAGAGUCGAUGUUUCAAUUUAGUUGUCAUUUUAUAAUCGCUUAAUGUUCUCUUUAUCUAAAAAAAAAAACCAUCUUGAUUGUGGUAACACAAGUCCCAUAAAUUUUUAUAAAAAACAAUUAUCACUUCAUCAAUAAUAAUUUAUUAAAAUAUUUUUAUAAAUAUAUUUUUAAUGUAAAAUAAUUUCAUUUUCUCAAUUUGUUUAUGAUUAUUGAUUCUAUUGAGAAUAUUAAUAAUAAAUUAACUAUAAUUUAAAAAACCUAAUCACACCAGCAUAAUGCAUAUCUUAAUUAGAGUUUCUAGAAUAAUCGAUGUUUAUAAGAGAAGAGGGUCAAAACCCUUAUAUGUAGCUUGUAUUGGUCUAAAUUGAAUUAUGUUUAAUUUAUUAUAUCAAGAAAAGAUGAUGGAUAAUCGAUGAUCCUCAUGGAUUAUAUUGUUAAUAUAAUCAAGAAAGAUAUGGUUAGUGUUAGUAUCAAUUUUUUUUUUUAUAUGUGCAAGACAGUCCAUAUUCCAUAGUUUUUUUAAUGACUAUACCUUAGUGGGGGGCACCAUGAGAGGGGGAAAAACCCUUUGUAAUUAGGGUUUUUUUAUUAAAAAAAAAAGGAAUUUCAGCUUUCUAGUUGACUUGCCCUAGAAAGUCUAACAAAUUUAGAGGAUGGUAAAAAGGAAAGGGGAAUCCUAUCCCCUUCACAAAGGUGGAUUCUUUUUAUGAAGGAUUUUUUAAAUAAAGGAAGAGUUAAUUUAAAAAAAUUGAAAAAAAUUAAAUUUAAUUAAAUUUUGUGUCAACACAAAUUACAAAAAAAUAAUUUUUAAUUUAUUUAUAAAAAUUUAAAAAUAUUUUAAACAAUAUAUAAGGAAAGUUAAAAAUUUAAAAUAAUUUUAAAAUAAUAAAUUUUGGGACCUAAAUAAAUUAAUUAAUAAUUUAAGUUUAUCAUACUAUUUUUCUUUCUUUGAAAAAUUUGAAAAAUUUUUCAAAUAUAUACGGUUUAAAAUUUGUUUACUCUAACCUAAAAUUAGUUAUAUUGUAACAAGAUUUUAAUUUGACAUGUUUAAUUUAACUCGAACAAUUUCACUCAACUCGAAUUUCAUUUCACUCAGCUCAAUUCAAAAAUAUUUUAAAUCGAGUUAGAAUGAUAAAAUAAAACUCAUUAACUCAACUCGAUUUAGUCUAAUGAUUACCCUAUUUUUGAUAAUGGAUCUCCACUCAUUGCAAGGAGCCUCUUAAUUCAUCAAAAAUUAUCUCAUAUUUUUUGGGUUUCUUUUUUGUUCAUAAAUUAGUAAUAGGCAUGGGUGGCCAUAAAAAGAGGGGUAAAAUUAAAAGAAGUCAUUGUCUUGGUUGCAUGUUGAUGUUCCUUUGUGGGGGAGAGGAAUAACUUUUUUUUUCCAUUUUAAAAAGAAAGGGCAUUUUAUUUUAUUUAUCCUUUUAAAAGGUUGUCUUUUGAAGGUUUAAAAGUAAGUGGGAAUAGGAAACUCCACUCAAAUUCCCUUAUCAUUUACAAUCUUACUCUUUUAUUU